CCUACGAGGGGCAGCAGUGAGGAAUAUUGGUCAAUGGACGGAAGUCUGAACCAGCCAUGCCGCGUGCAGGAAGACGGAUCUAUGAGUUGUAAACUGCUUUUGUACAAGGGUAAACCUGAAUACGUGGAUUCAGCAGAAAGUACUGUACGAAUAAGGAUCGGAUAACUCCGGGCCAGCAGCCGCGGUAAUACGGAGGAUCCAAGCGUUAUCCGGAUUGAUUGGGUUUAAGGGGUGCGUAGGCGGAUUGAUAAGUAAGAGGUGAAAUGUGCGAGCUUAACUCGGGAACUGCCUUUAAUACUGUUGAUCUAGAGAGUAGAUGCGGUAGGCGGAAUGUAUGGUGUAGCGGUGAAAUGCUUAGAGAGCAUACAGAACACCGAUUGCGAAGGCAGCUUACCAAUCUAUAUCUGACGUUGAGGCACGAAAGCGUGGGGAGCAAACAGGAUUAGAUACCCUUGUAGUC
rnacentral:rRNA from 1 species